rnacentral:lncRNA from 1 species
CUGAUUGGAUGAGGAACACCCAGACUGGGAGGGCAAUCACCUUACUCAGUCUACUGAUUCAAUGUUAAUUUCAUUGAAAAUGCCCUUAUGGACACACUCAUAUAAUGUUUGACCAAAUAUGUGGGCACCCAUGGCCCAGACAAGUUGAUUUGUACGACAGACUAUCACAGCGCCCAUGCUCAAGUCAAUGAGCCACACAGAGGCUGAGCUCUUUUUCCCAUCUCCUUCUAGGACAAGAAUUGUUGAAGCCGGGGUCAGGAUGGGGGAUGCUGAAGUGCUCAUACACUCUAAACCAGAGGCUUCCUAGAGCCUAAGGGGUAGCUGAGAAGACAGCCAGAAACACAGCUGCACGGCACUGACAGAGAACUCGCAGAGUAAAAAGGAACCCACAAUAAACGAGCUGCUUUGCGCCAUGUUCACAAUUUCCUUGCAGGGUGGGAGCAGAGAUGGUCCGAGUAAACUGACCCAUUUGGAAGCCCACUUGGAAACUGG